GACAAAGAGUUAGAGGAGAAGCAAGAGAGGAUUAGAGGAACUUUUGAAACCAGCCACUGCUUUGGGACAAAGAUUGAAAAUGGGACUUAAAGGAAUCUUGAUGAUACUACUAAUGCUAAAUGCAAGUACAACGCUGACGACUGCAACGGCAACAACCACAGCUGCUCCAACCACAACCACAGCUACACCAACCACAACCACAGCUACUCCAACCACAACC